rnacentral:rRNA from 1 species
UGCCAGCAGCCGCGGUAAUACGGAGGGGGCAAGCGUUGUUCGGAUUUACUGGGCGUAAAGGGUGUGUAGGCGGUUGCGCAAGUCUGGUGUGAAAUCUUCACCGCUUAACGGGAAGAGGUCACUGGAAACUGCGUAACUCGAGUAUGGUAGGGGCAAGCGGAAUUCCUGGUGUAGCGGUGGAAUGUGUAGAUAUCAGGAAGAACACCUGUAGCGAAGGCGGCUUGCUGGGCCAUCACUGACGCUGAGACACGAAAGCGUGGGGAGCAAACGGGAUUAGAUACCCCGGUAGUCCACGCUGUAAACUGUGCGCACUAGGUGUGAGGGGUAUCGACCCCCCUUGUGCCGAAGUUAACACAUUAAGUGCGCCGCCUGGGGAGUACGGCCGCAAGGUUGAAACUCAAAGGAAUUGACGGGGGCCCGCACA